UACGGAGGGGGCUAGCGUUGUUCGGAAUUACUGGGCGUAAAGGGCGCGUGGGCGGCAUGACAAGUCACUUGUGAAAUCUCCGGGCUUAACCCGGAAAGGUCAGCCGAUACUGCGGGGCUAGAGUGCAGAAGGGGCAACUGGAAUUCUCGGUGUAGCGGUGAAAUGCGUAGAUAUUGGGAAGAACACCAGCGGCGAAAGCGCGCUACUGGGCCAUUACUGACACUCAUGGACGAAAGCUAGGGGAGCGAAAGGG
rnacentral:rRNA from 1 species